rnacentral:rRNA from 1 species
CGCGUAGGCGGGUACCUACGGCGGUGGUGAAAGCUCCCGGCUUAACUGGGAGAGGCCCAUCGCAACGGGGUAUCUCGAGGGUGGUAGAGGCAGAUGGAAUUCCUGGUGUAGCGGUGAAAUGCGUAGAGAUCAGGAGGAACACCUGUGGCGAAGGCGGUCUGCUGGGCCAUGCCUGACGCUGAAGCGCGAAGGCCAGGGGGAGUGAACGGGAUUAGAUACCCCGGUAAUCCUGGCGGUAAACGAUGGAUACUAGGUGUCAGUGGUAUCGACCCCGCUGGUGCCGUAGCUAACGCACUAAGUAUCCCGCCUGGGGAGUACGGCCGCAAGGUUGAA